CCUUGCACUCCUUCUAGCUCUUUCGUUGGGUUACACCGGCGAGGCUGACCAGCAGCUCCACAUCAGGGGACUCGGCUUUUGGAGGUGUUAUCCCAGGAAUGGUCUGCAUUGCCUGCCUGAUUCCAACCCAACUCAACUGGGUUGCUCCUAUGCCAUUUACUUCACAACCGUGCAUCUCACUCUCUUCUCACCUUCUGCAUUAGCCUUUACCUUGGAAACAUCGGAUCUGUUCCCAUCUAAGCCAAAAACACUAUCCAAUUUUAUAUCCAUUAGGUCGUUCUUGGGAUCAACACCUGAGGAGAGGAGCAGCUGAGGCGGGAUCAGGAAGGGAGGAAGUAGAGUGCAG
rnacentral:lncRNA from 1 species